rnacentral:rRNA from 1 species
UGCGUAGGUGGCAAGCGUUGUCCGGAUUUAUUGGGCGUAAAGCGCCCGCAGGCGGCUCGUCGCGUCAGCUGUGAAAUUCCGUGGCUUAACUGCGGGCUUGCAGCUGAUACUGUGCGACUAGAGUGCAGAAGGGGCAACUGGAAUUCUCGGUGUAGCGGUGAAAUGCGUAGAUAUCGAGAGGAACACCUGCGGCGAAGGCGGGUUGCUGGGCUGACACUGACGCUGAUGCGCGAAAGCCAGGGGAGCGAACGGG